rnacentral:rRNA from 1 species
CCUACGGGAGGCAGCAGUGAGGAAUAUUGGUCAAUGGACGAGAGUCUGAACCAGCCAAGUAGCGUGAAGGAUGACUGCCCUAUGGGUUGUAAACUUCUUUUAUAAAGGAAUAAAACGAGGCACGUGUGCCUUUCUGCAUGUACUUUAUGAAUAAGGAUCGGCUAACUCCGUGCCAGCAGCCGCGGUAAUACGGAGGAUCCGAGCGUUAUCCGGAUUUAUUGGGUUUAAAGGGAGCGUAGAUGGGUUGUUAAGUCAGUUGUGAAAGUUUGCGGCUCAACCGUAAAAUGGCAAUUGAUACUGGCAGUCUUGAGUACAGUUGAGGUAGGCGGAAUUCGUGGUGUAGCGGUGAAAUGCUUAGAUAUCACGAAGAACCCCGAUUGCGAAGGCAGCUUACUAACCUGUGACUGACAUUGAUGCUCGAAAGUGUGGGUAUCAAACAGGAUUAGAUACCCCUGUAGUC